AGUGUUUAGAGGUUAAGCCCGAUGAACCUGAAUAUCCAUUAUGGAAAAUUCAUCACUAAUGUUAUAAUAUUAAUCAUAUUAUGAAAAUAGUGUGCAAUUUUUCCAUAUAAGGACAUUGUAAUCUGUUAAUGUAAUAAGUAUUUAUUAAAAGAUCUAUUACACAAGUUUAUUCAAAUUAGUUAUUUUCGGAUUUCUAACAUAGAAUAAAUGUUUUAGAUUUAAUAAAUCAUUGACAGAUAUAAUUAUAUAUAGUGCUUAAAUUCCUCGGGAUUUUACAAUUAAAUAAGUAAAUUAUAUUUAUUUAUUAAAUUGUAUGCACUUAUAUGAUUAACAAUGCGAUAGAUUCAGGAUACCUUCGGGACCCGUCUUGAAACACGGACCAAGGAGUCUAACAUAUGUGCAAGUCAUUGGGUUUUUUAAAUAAAACCCAAUGGCAUAAUUAACUUAACUGUUUCUUAUAUGGGAUUAGUAUACAUUUUAUUUAUAAAACGUAUAUUCAAUCCCGGGGCGUUCUAUACAGUUAUGCAUAAUGAUAUUUAUAUUAUUUAUGCCUCUAACUAGAGC
rnacentral:rRNA from 1 species